rnacentral:rRNA from 1 species
UACAGAGGUGGCAAGCGUUGUUCGGAAUUACUGGGCGUAAAGGGCGCGUAGGCGGCCUUCUUAGUCAGACGUGAAAUCCCUAGGCUUAACCUAGGAACUGCGUCUGAUACUGGAAGGCUUGAGUUCGGGAGAGGAAUGUGGAAUUCCAGGUGUAGCGGUGAAAUGCGUAGAUAUCUGGAGGAACACCGGUGGCGAAGGCGGCAUUCUGGACCGAAACUGACGCUGAGGCGCGAAAGCCAGGGGAGCAAACGGG